rnacentral:sRNA from 1 species
CGAAGCCAGGCUCCAGCUCCAGCCUCUCCCUUCGGGAAAGGUGGACAGUGUUCAAGGUUCGGAUGAUGGCUGGGGUAUGUCCCUGUGGGGCUUGCUCACCUCCAGGCCCCCCGCUUAUAUCUUCUGCCUUUUCCAGGGUCUGCUGUGGUACAUUGUUCCCUUGGUCGUAGUUUACUUUGCCGAGUAUUUCAUUAACCAGGGACUUGUAAGUGAGGGGUGCUAGGAGGGGUGUGGAGGUGGCGAUUGGGGCUGGGACCCACACGGCCCCGUCCAUCUCCCCUGUCUGGUAUUUGUUGCAGUUUGAACUCCUCUUUUUCCGGAACACUUCCCUGAGUCACGCUCAGCAAUACCGCUGGUACCAGAUGCUGUACCAGGCUGGCGUCUUUGCCUCCCGCUCUUCUCUCCGCUGCUGUCGCAUCCGUUUCACCUGGGCCCUGGCCCUGCUGCAG